AUUGAACGCUGGCGGCAUGCCUUACACAUGCAAGUCGAACGGCAGCACGGGGCAACCUGGUGGCGAGUGGCGAACGGGUGAGUAAUGCAUCGGAACGUACCUUUCAGUGGGGGAUAACGUAGCGAAAGUUACGCUAAUACCGCAUAUUCUGUGAGCAGGAAAGCAGGGGAUCGCAAGACCUUGCGCUGAUUGCGCGGCGGAGGUCAGAUUAGCUAGUUGGUGAGGUAAAGGCUCACCAAGGCGACGAUCUGUAGCGGGUCUGAGAGGAUGUUCCGCCACACAGGACCUGAGGCACGGUCCAGACUCCUACGGGAGGCGGCAGUGGGGAAGUUUGGACAAUGGGGGCGACCCUGAUCCAGCCAUGCCGCGUGAGUGAAGAAGGCCUUCGGGUUGUAAAGCUCUUUCGGCCGGGAAGAAAUCGCACGGGCUAAUACCCUGUGUGGAUGACGGUACCGGAAUAAGAAGCACCGGCUAACUACGUGCCAGCCGCCGCCGUAA
rnacentral:rRNA from 1 species